rnacentral:rRNA from 1 species
GUGCCAGCCGCCGCGGUAAUACCGGCAGCCCAAGUGAUGACCGAUCUUAUUGGGCCUAAAGCGUCCGUAGCUGGCUGCGCAAGUCCGCCGGGAAAUCCACUCGCCCAACGAGUGGGCGUCCGACGGAAACUGCACAGCUUGGGACCGGAAGGCUCGAAGGGUACGUUCGGGGUAGGAGUGAAAUCCCAUAAUCCCGCACGGACCACCGAUGGCGAAAGCACUUCGAGAAAACGGAUCCGACAGUGAGGGACGAAAGCCAGGGUCUCCAACCGGAUUAGAAACCCUUGUCUCC